UACAGAGACUGCAAGCGUUAUUCGGAUUCACUGGGCGUAAAGGGUGCGCAGGCGGCCGUGUGUGUGAGGCGUGAAAGCCCGAUGCUUAACAUCGGAAUUGCACCUCAAACUACACGGCUAGAGCAUUGGAGAGGGUAGCGGAAUUCACGGUGUAGCAGUGAAAUGCGUAGAUAUCUGGAGGAACACCGGUGGCGAAGGCGGCGAUCCUGGACCGGCAUUGACGCUGAGGGCGCGGAAAGCCAGGGAGCAACGGGGAUUAGAUGACCCGAGAGGUCCCA
rnacentral:rRNA from 1 species